AUGAGUUCGCCAGAAAAUUAAUCGGUAAUUUUUCAGACAAAUUACGACACCGAUUUUACACCACUUCAUUAUGAACCCAAUGACAAGUUUCAAAAUGAACUUUUUGAACUUUGCAAUUUUCAAAAAGUAACAAAUUGCGUUUUUUGCUUAAGUUGGUUUAGAAAGGCCAAAAACAAAAUAUUGAACCUAGGUGGCAACUCUGUUUUUAUAAGUCAUCUGGGGCCUAAAGGUGUAGUUACAUACUUUUUUUUUAUUCACUACAAUAUUUUUCUAUUAUCAAACUGUCGAAGGCGAAUACUGAAUGCUACGAAAUGCGUAAUUCAACUUCGACUGCGGUCGAUUUGCGCCUUCGACAACGGGAAUAAGGGUCAAUAAUAAUAGCAACAACUUUUUUAAACAAUCACCUUUGAGGUGGCAAAAUAUGUUUGGUGGAUCGAUUUUUUCAUCCCGGAAAUCGAUAACUUUUUGACAAAUUACAAUCGUAAGCCAUGAUCGAAUUUGCACGGAAUUAAUCUGGGAACAAAAAUUCACUCGAUAACGGAUGCGAGAAUUAGGCCCCUGGUAGAGUAAGUUCGUUAGUUGUGGUGUUUAAUUAGGGCAGGAGAGUAAGAACAGGGUCCGAACUACAGCAUAUGCGGUCAAGUGCGCUUUCGUAUCGAAUGAAAUUUCAUCUCGUAUUUAAAGAAUGUUAUACCACUUUUAUAAACAUUUUAAUGUUACAUUUAUAAUUAUGAUCCAUUUAAA
rnacentral:sRNA from 1 species